rnacentral:lncRNA from 1 species
CAAAUCACCUCCUUGCUAGGUGUCCACCCAGACACAAGAACUGGCAUCAAAGUACCAUUUCCCACCAGGCUUGAGCCUCUGCAGCCUCGGAAGAGGGAGUCUUUAGCCGAAACAUUCAGGAGCCGGGGAUCCCAGAAGGUACAUACUAAAUUCCAUCCAGAUGUUGAGUUUGAUUUUGUAUUUUU